rnacentral:lncRNA from 1 species
GCUUGAGAAAGUGGGACUUCAAAUACGGACCAAUGAUAAGGACCUGGUGGGUCUAGAAUUGAGUCCUGCUCUUUAUCUGAUGCUAUUUAACAAAUUGAAGAAGACCCAUCAGCAAGUUUUUUGACUCCUAAGGACAGGUUUUAUUGACUGAUACCAAUACUCAAUUUGUAGAGGAAACCCUAGCUAUAUUGAAGAACUUGCUAGAUAAUCAUACUGAAGGCAGCUCUGAACAUCUAGAGCAAGCUAGCAUUGAAACAAUGAUGUUAAAUCUGGUCAGGUACGUUUGUGUGCUUGGGAAUAUGGUCCAUGCAAUUCAAAUAAAAACGAAACUGUGUCAGUUGGUUGAAGUAACGAUGGCAAGGAGAGAUGACCUCUCAUUUUGCCGAGAGAUGAAAUUUAGGAAUAAGAUGGUAGAAUACCUGACAGACUGGGUUAUGGGAACAUCAAACCAAGCAGCAGAUGAUGAUGUAAAAUGUCUUACAAGCAUCAGGUACCUGAAAAAGAAGAGAUCAAGGCUUUGAAAACGUUAAGUAUUUUCUACCAAGCUGGGGCUUCCAAAGCUGGGAAUCCUAUUUUUUAUUAUGCUGCACGGGGUAAGAAAUACUAUGUUUGGUGUCUCCUCUCAACAGAAUUUUUUAAACGAUAGCAAUUAUAGAGAUGGCAAGUUUGGUUUUUCAUAUUUGACUUAACAAGAAUUGAAGACAAGUUUACCUGGGAGCAUACAGUGGGUUAAAUAGCCUGCCUUUCCUAAAAUGGUGGUCAGUAUCUAGUAACUGCUUUUCAGACUACCCAUUUCAUAUUGGUUUCCCUGUCCUACAUCAUUUUUUAAAAUACUGCCUACAAUGGAUUAAUUACCAAGAGUUAAAAAACCACAAAGCAUCUUUUGUUUUCAAGUAUAUUCUGAUUAAAUAGUACAACAUGAUAAGCGGGAACUUUUUUUAAAAGAAGAAAUAAAACUGUAAGAGCCUGUUUCUGAGAACUUUUAAAAAUAUGCUGUGUAAGACAGCAUCAGGGUGAUUUAGAAAAUAAUUCAAAGGGGUGGUG